UUGCAUCCAAUUAUUAAUGGUUAUUAAGUUUAACAACUUGAUAUUAAAAGGGAAUUCGGUGAAAAUCCGGAACUGUCCCGCAGCUGUAUGCUCAACAAACGAAACCCAAUAAUGGUCACUGUUUAAUAGAAUGGGAAGGCCGGGUUAACAGAGUAAGUCAGAAGACCUGCCAUUUAACAUUAAUUCAA
rnacentral:ncRNA from 2 species